UACGUAGGGUCCGAGCGUUGUCCGGAAUUACUGGGCGUAAAGAGCUCGUAGGUGGUUUGUCGCGUUGUUCGUGAAAACUCACAGCUCAACUGUGGGCGUGCGGGCGAUACGGGCAGACUAGAGUACUGCAGGGGAGACUGGAAUUCCUGGUGUAGCGGUGGAAUGCGCAGAUAUCAGGAGGAACACCGGUGGCGAAGGCGGUCUGCUGGGCCAAGACUGACGCUGAGGCGCGACAGCGUGGGGAGCAAACAGG
rnacentral:rRNA from 1 species